GCCAAAAAAGUACAUUAUUUUCCAAGAUGAGUAUAAACUCACAAAUACUCUUGAUGAAGAAUUCAACACCAUACCCAUUAAAUUUUAAAGCACAAAUAGAAGACCCUGCAAACUAUAAACUUAAUUCAAAUGUACCAACCACCGAGAUGUUUCAUAAAGUACAUCACACAUUAUCAAGCAAAACUCCAACAAGCAAGAAACAUACAAACUAGUAGUCCUCUACGGGGAAAAAACCAAGGACAAUAGUAACUGGGCAUAACAAGUAUUAAGUGAAUAUGUAAAAGAGGAGAUUAAGUUUACCUCUUCAACGUGUGAAGCAUCUCCAAGCAUGCAGAUCUUCAUCUUAGGGCGAGGGAUAUGGGGCAACUUCACUGAACCACUGAAACGCUUGUCCUUUUGUGGAUCAUAGUUCUUAAGUCCAAUCUGAAGUUCAAUGGUCUCAGUGAAUUUGCGCUUCUUUUCACCGCUAUCAGCGAAGAUAGAUGAAAUGGCUUCUCUCAACGCAUCACUUUGAAGUUUGCUGUACAUACAAACCAACAAACCCAUCAGCAACCAAAGCCUCCAACAAGCAUAAACCCAUUAAACUACAACCCUAAGAAAAUUCCAGUACUACCAUCUACAUACUUCUAAAUCUACCUCAAUCAAAUAUUUAGAUUACUGGCAGAAAUAAAUAACAAGAACAAACUUUAUGAAUUCGCAAAUUAGAUAACAACAACGGAAGCAAUAAUCAAAUUCAUUCUGAAAAACAGCAGAAUCUGAACGGUGAAUAAAAACUACAUACCUCAUUUUCGGAGCUUUGUCUUUCCCAAGAAGUAGCUACAAACUGGUGAGAAGAAAACAAAAAAAACAAUAAACUACAAUUAUAACAAACAGACUAACCAAACCAAAUCGAAUGAAGAAUACGCAAGAACUGAAGAUCAGAUUGAAGGAAGAAGAAAGAAGAGAGUAGAGUAAAAUAGUUGCAAUAAUGGAGAAUCGAGUAGCAGGUUCAACAAAAUAAACAUAGGAUAGAAGAACAAGGAUGGGUGAGUACCUGGUGAGAAGACAGGAAGCUAGGGUUUUUCGACGGCCGAACAGAGAAUAAAUAUAUAAUGGAAGAACGAAGGGAGGCGAUGAAGAAAGAAGGGCCGAUGAUGAUAAACCUAGGUUAUGCAGUUUUGCUACAGUAAUGGUCUUGGGCCUUUGUUUUUUCGAGUUUAGAUUGGGCCGGUUUUGGCCCAAUUUGUAGUCCAGUGGGCCUUAGGCUUGUAGAUGGACGACAAUCGAUGGGGAAAAACGACUUGUUGAUUCGUCUAUGAGAUGGUUUUUAUUAUGCCUCGUGAAAGCUAUUCAUAGAGUACUAACGGUGCAGGGAUAUAUUUGAUAAUAAGAUAGCUAUAAUGAUUAACAAUUUUAUAAAUAAUAAUUAAGUGUAUAGCAACAUUUUAAAUAUUAUAAAUAUAACAAAAUUCAUAAGUGAUAGACUUCUAUUUAUGAUACUGUGUCUCUUCAGCCUCAACUUGUAUUAGAGUGCUAGAUUUCUCCUCAUAUUGUUUAUUGGUAGGACCUUGAGUCUCGUUCUGAUCCCAUUUACGUUGAAUUUUACGUUGCUGAGGCAUGACUCCUAUAACAUAUCAACCAUUAGACAUGUUACAGAGACUACUAACUACUAUAAACUUUUAACUUCUUUUUAAACUUCCCCUAACACAACUUUUACUUCUCCUCUUCUCCUUUACUCUCUAUUUCACAAAGAACUACUGUUCUUACUAACAUGACUUAGUCUUUACUCCCUAAAGACUAACUCUUGCUCUGAUGCCAAAUUUUCACACCCCACCCCGAGCACCUCCUUACGUGACCAGAGACGUGGUAUGAAGUCAAUCGAUAUUGUCCUCUUUAAGAAUGACAUCAAUUGACCCCUUAAACAUGAACCCUUAAAACAAUAAACGAUAGCGGAAGCUAACACAUAAAUUCUAAACACACAAUUGGGUAAAACCCUUUUAUUUAACACAAACUUCAUAUAAGUUUAUACAAACAUGACUUAACCAUAUUCACAUGAAACAAAACUCAACAACUGUCUUCCCAAAAAGCCUAAAUCUCACAAUACAAAAGACUAGCCAACCAAUCACAAUAACAAAAUAACAUAACGCAUACGAUAACAAAAUGAAAUCCUUCAGCAAACAGGUAGCAACGAUUCAGGUUAUGAGGACACGAUCUCUACGUGGAAAGUGAGAAAAUAUUUUGAAGAGUGUGAGCUAAACGAGCCCAGUGAUUGAUAAUUUUCUAAAUAAAUUUUCAUAAACCUAUAGAAACAGUAAUUCAUAAAUCCUUGAAACGGUAAAUGUUAAAUCAUAACAUGAAAGCUUAAACCUUAAAGCAUUUUGGAAAUAGUAACAUAAAGCCUUGUUUUUCUUGUUCGAAACCUCAAAGUAUCUACUCUUGGGAGGUGGUAGAGAUUACUCGGUACCAACUCCAAACCUCAGAGAUGGACAUCUCAAUUCCUGUUCGUGGGAGAUAAACGUGCCUAACUCCAAUCCCAGAAAUAAGUGUCCUUACCUCAAAUUUAUCAAUGCCUAUAAUCCUGCCUUGUUACGACUAAAUUUAAUCAUGUCUCAUUCUGGGUAAUUUUAAUCAUGUCCCGUUACGAGUAAUUUUUUUAGACAUAUUGGUUUCGAGAAAACAUUUUUAAAACCACAAACCUUAAAUCCUUUUGCAAUAAGCAACUUUUAACUUUAUUUUCAAUAAUCCUUAAACAUUCCUCAAUAAAUAGUAAUCUUGAAUCAAAUACUUUUAAAUAACAACAUGCUUGAAAUCACUUCAAAUAAAUCAUUUUUCACUCACACAUACAAGCUCAAAUCAUUGGUUUAUAAGUUUGUUUGAUCUCUUCUCGACCUGAAAAAUAUGGUAAAAUAAUCGCUUUAACUUCCCUUGAACAUGAAAAUAUCAAAGGUGCACUUAAAAUUUCCAAAAUUAACAAAAAAAAAAAAAGUCUAAAAUCAUGUCAUGAAACAUGUUGGCAUGCAAAUGAUGGGCAAUAGGCCUUGGUCGCAUGCGUUGGGCUUCUGCGUGCUAACCUCACAAAAGGUUUGCCGCACACCUCACCCUCUCCCCGUGUAUAUUAUCCCGUGCAGGGUUUGUUGCAUACAGAUCGUGCUUCUAACGCCAACCUCAACGUACACUAACCUCCAUGAUCACCAAAAUGGUUGCCCAUCUCACGUAGCUUACCUUGCCACUCGGCCAACCACCAACUUACCCAAAAACUCAAUUUUCAUCUAAAGAUAUAACUCGAUUUUGAAAAAUUAUAACUAAAAAUCCUUAACUCAUUUGAAGAAACUUCCUUCUACAAGAAUGCUUUUAAAGUCUUAAAUUGUUUACCUUAAAAUUUAAGCUUCAAAUUCCAAAGAAUGAACUAUGCAACCCUCUAGAAAUCAACCUUGCUCAAAUUCACCCGAAAUCUUACCUUUCUCACGUUCUUUAACUCAAACUUAACUCUCCCUUGCACAAAAACGUCUGGCAGCCCCAAUUUAAAAAUUAGACUCAAUUUAUGAUCUUAAGAGUAAUUUCAACAAAACCACACGAGUGAUUUGAGAGAAAUGUUCAUAUGAAGUGGCCUAUUUAUACUGAACCCUACAUUAAGCUUUAUUGACACCUCCUACUAGUUGAAGUCUAAUUUAAGCAUACAAGGACACCUAUAAAGCACUUCAUCGACCCCAUCUUUUCAUCAUCUCGCCUAACCAAAAUACUCAAUGUUCUUUGACAAGUCCAAAACGUCUUGUGUCAAGCCCUUGCUAACUUUCAAACCCUUCUCGUGUGGCAUGCUUCUCGCCUAACACCAAACCACCAAGCCUUCUUGCCUAACCUCUCAAGACUCAAAAUAACCUCUAUGUGACAGUCUUACACAUCAAAUGACACUCCUUUAGAUGUUCUCUUCUCACCUAAAUUACUUUCCUUCAUGUUUUAGUCACUUUGUCAAGCCUAAACGCCUACUAAUUAACCUAUUUAGAGGUUAUUUCUUUCUUCUAAUUGGACGCCCAAUGCAUAAGCAACUAAUCUCUAAUAGCCUUGACAUGCUCUAAACACCUAAUGAUGCUAAGUUAGAUGUUGUUUCCAUCCUUUUGGCCACCAACACACCGCCAAAAUAACUUUCAGAAUGCCUAACCCUUAAGCCUUAAUACUUGGCCAAUUUUUUUUAUUCUUUUCCAAUAUUCAUGACACAUACUUUUUAUCCUUAACUCCCUUCAAUACUUAAAACUUCUCAAUACUUGAAAGGCCUUAAGUUUUCUUCCUUACAACAAAGUUAUCUAAUAAACUAACUAACAACCCAUCUCUAUUUCAAACUUUUGUUGUUAUUACUAUUUUAUAUAAAUAGCAAAUCAAACCAACAAGACCAAAAAAAAAUGAGUAUCUAUGUUUGAAAAGACUUUAAAGUGGUAAGAAAUACAAGUUAUCUAUCUCAUUAUCAAUUGAUUUCGAGAAGAAAUUUCGUGAUUACACAAUAGAGUAUCAAAUAUCAUAACGUUUAUGAGAAAAAUUAGAGUAUGAUCACAACGUCGCAUUAAAUCUAAAGAUGUGUCAUCUUCAAAGGUAUAUAUCAAAUAUAAGUAGCAUAAAUAAUAUAUGAUAGCCAAUUUAUAGAACAAGACAUUAGAAACUCAAAUAAUUCAAACGUUUUAUUACAAAUAUUAAACUAAAUAAAAUAUUUAAAAAAGAAGAAAAAAAGAAAGCAAAUAAGAAGUGUGUUUAUGUUUUAAUCUCUCUAUAAAUAACAUUAAAAUAUCAAUUCAAAGUUGUUAAUUAAAAACAGAUUUUCCCCAAUCUCAACACCUGCUUUCCACCCUACGCCAUGAACGGCGACUGUUCCGCUGUCCCUCCGCCGCUAGCGACGCCCUCGCCGACGCUAUUCUGCCGGCGGCCAAGAUUCUGUCGAACGCCGAAUAGUCGAUCCAAUCCUUAAGCAGUUCCUCUUUGCCCCAUUUCUCCGGCACCAUGACUUUCCCGGCCACCUCUUCACGGUGCCUCUUCAGCCGCUCCCGAACACCAAAACAGCCCUUCAAUUUCUCAGCCCCAACACCGCCGCUAGAAUCUCCGGUCGACCCACCAGCGGGGGAUGGAGCAGGAGCCGUAGCGCUUGCUCCGACGGAAGGAGAGUCAUCGGCAUCAGAGGAAUUUGGGGGAACCAUAGCGAUCAUGGCGAUUUGUAGAUUUGAUGUUUGGGAGUGAGAGAUAAUAGUUAAAUAGAAGGGUUGUGUGGGGGUUUAUUGUACACGUCAACCAAGGGUGUUUUAUAUCUUACUUUUAUUUUUAAAUUUUUUUUAUAGAUAUUUGAGUGGCAAAGGGAUUUACUAAUUUCUAUUGCAUCUUCUUUCAAUUUCAAUUUACUAUUUAUGUUUUUGUUUUGUUUUUUUGAUGUAUGAAAUUGGAGGGGGAAAAGAAGAGAGUGUGAUUUAAUUGAUUGGGGGAAUUUAGGCCAAUGGAAUUGAUGCUAUUGAUUUGGGUGGCGGUGGGUUGUUGUUUUAGAGGUUGUGAUGUGGAGCCUUUAAGGGCAUAGGAAUUGAUUUGAGGUGGGACUUUAGAGAUGUGGCACCAACCAAUUGUCUUAGAUAUGCAUGUAUAUGUUUAUGUUUAUGCUUUGUCACCACAUAAAUUUAUAUCUCUUCUAUGGUCCACGUUUCAUUCAAACAUGGCUGCUUUUUGCUAAUUUUUACUUUUCAAGGUUACGUGGGUUAUAGUUGUUUUUGUUAGAUUUGUUAGAUGUGUUGUGUAUGUAAGCUAGUCGAGAUUGUAAAAUGUUCAUACUCGAUUCAAAUGUAGAAUUUAAGUUAGAAGAAAGUUA
rnacentral:lncRNA from 1 species